AGAGUACAUGUGAAAAAAAUGCCUUUUUAAAGAGUAUGAAAAACUUGAGUUGUAAAAUUUUCUUGUGGAUAAUUUAUUAUUGCUUUUCUUUUUUAGAUAACACUAACAAAGUUGACCUUAGAAUUGGAGUGCCCGGGUUAGAACCUUGCUGGUACCACCUGCUUACUGUAAGACCUUGGUCAAGUUAUUAACUUUUCUGUUCCUCAUUUGUGAAAUAUUGUGAAAAAUAGUUUGUCUGUCUGUCUGCCUGUCUGAGAACAGUACUGGCACAAAAGUGCUUAAUACACUUCAGUGAUUAUUAUUAAUAUUACUAUUGUUGCAUUUUCCCCUUGAAGGCAUGCUUCUGAUGUGAGUUCAGGAGAAGCCACUGGCAAGGACAGCAAAGAACAGGAGAACACUCUAGCUUCCCUGAUAGCAUUCAAGGUGCUGUCCAAAGCUCUUGAGUUUCUGCUUUCAAGUGACCCUCAGAAAUGCCCCCAUUCACUGCAGAGGUUCUGUUUCUCCUUGUUUUGUUCCGACUUUAUGGCAGAACUAGGUUAAUGAGUUAAUUACUAUGAGUUAUCACUUGGAUUUGAAGAACCAUCAUUUCUAGGCUUUGCUGCUCAGAGUGGGUUUGCCCUCAGGGGAAGCUAUCUAACCAGAGCCUAACCCACUAGGGUUUUAUCAGAACCUAACUGGCCUGAGGAAAAGAAAUAUUCAACUCCAGCAAGCUCCAGCCUUCCAAACGGAGGAGGAGAAAACCCAAAUCCAGCCCACUUCAGCUAUCUUGUCCCACAUAAAGGGGGAGUGGAAGAAACGUGAGAAGCAGGCAUGAAGUUCACAGUCCGGAGGUACAGACACAUCAGAGUUCAGUAUCUGAUGAAUUAGAUGCAAAAUCCUCAACAAAGUAUUAGCAAAUUGAAUUCAACAAUGUAUGAAAAUUAUUACAUGCCAUGACUAAUUGGAAUUUAUCUCAGGUAUACAAGCCAUGCUGAACAUCUGAAAAUCAAUUCAUGUGAUCCAUCACAUUAGCAGAUUCAAGAAAAAAAAAACCACAUUAUCAUAUCAGUAGAUGUAGAAAAAAAAAAUUAACAAAA
rnacentral:sRNA from 1 species